UGCUUACUUAAGAUAUGAUGUUGUUUA
rnacentral:sRNA from 1 species